rnacentral:rRNA from 1 species
AUAUAACUAAGCGGAGGAAAAGAAACUAACCAGGAUUGACGUAGUAAGGGCGACUGAACUGUCAAAAGCUCACCGUGUGAAUCUGCGUGCAUUAUUGUGCGCCGAAUUGUGGUCUGGAGGUUCUUGCGCUAUGGCACUAGGCAAAGUCCCUUGGAACAGGGCAGCAGAGAGGGUGAGACUCCCGUUUGCCCGGUGCUUGGAGCGAGUUCCAACGAGUCGAGUUGUUUGGGAUUGCAGCUCAAAGUGGGUGGUAAAUUCCAUCUCAAGCUAAAUACUGGUGGGAGACCGAUAGCGCACAAGUA